UUUUUUUUUGCAUUUCGUUCCUUUCACCCUACUUGAUUACAAAGACGUUCCAAUAUUCCAAAAUACUUUAGGCCUUGUGUCUAUAAAAAACACACAGAAGUUAAAAGUGUAAAUCAUCUCAUAAUUAGCAGCCAUGGCAAUGAAUAUUUCCAUAGAAGAUCAACCUCAUAUCUUGCUUUUCUUCAUCAUCUGCUUAAUAUCUACUCUAAUAAUAGUUCAAUCCUUUAUCAAGAAUCUCAAGCAAUCAAACAAGAAAAUACAACAUCAACCUCCUAGCCCGAUAGCAUUACCAAUCAUCGGUCAUAUGUAUCUUCUUGGUUCUGUGUUACACCAGUCGUUUCAAAAAUUAGCAUUGCGCUAUGGACCAUUCAUGUUGAUCCGUGCUGGUGCAUCAUCCUCAUAUAUAGUGUCGAACGGCGCCAUAGCAAAAGAAAUUUUUAAGACCAAUGAUGUCAAUUUUGCUGCUAGGCCAGAAUUUGGCUCUUCAGAGUAUCAAAUUUACAAAGACACCUUGUUUUCCACUUUGGACUAUAGCAAGUAUUGGAUUUUUAUGAAGAAAAUUUGCAUGACAGAGAUUCUAUCCACUCAGCAGAUUACAAAAUUUGCUGAUGUAAGGAAGGAGGAAAUGAUGAAAUUGUUGGAAUUUUUCGCCAAGUGUUCAGAACAAGGGGGGCUUGUGAUGUUGGAAAUCAACUCAUGACUAUGACAAAUAAUCUUAUUUGUAGACUGACCAUGAGCACAAGAACAUCAACUAAUGUCAAUGAGAGCGCGGAGAUAAGAGAAAUCGCUAAGGGAAUAACAUUACUUUCAGGUCAGUUGAGCUUAGGUGAAGUGUUUGGUCCAUUGAAGAAAUAUGAUCUUCUUGGAGCUGGAAGAAAGGUUAAAGCGUUGUUGCUUAGGUUUGAUAAGUUUAUGGAUGGGAUAAUUAAGAAACACGAAGAGGAAAGGCGCGCUGGAAGUAAAGACAGGAAAGAUAUGAUGGAUAUUCUUCUGGAAAUUGCAGAUGAUAAAAGCACUGAGAUGAAGCUCACUAGAAAUGGCAUCAAGGGUCUUUUCUUGGAUCUGUUCUUGGGAGGGACUGAUACAACAAGUGUUGCUUUGCAAUGGGCGCUCGCGGAGCUGCUAAACCAUCCAAAGGCAAUAAAGAAGCUGCAACAAGAGAUUGACAGAAUAGUUGGGGUAAAAAACAGAUUGGUUGAGGAUUCAGAUAUACAAAAUCUUCCUUAUCUACAAGCUGUUGUCAAGGAAACUCUAAGGUUACAUCCUUCAUUGCCCUUAGUGUUCCGAAAAUGCAGGGAAGAUUGUGUGAUCAAUGGCUACAAAAUACUUAAAGAUUCUAGGGUUGUGGUCAACCUUUACGCGGUUAAUAGGGACUCAAAUGCAUGGACUGAUGCAGAUGAGUUUGUACCAGAGAGAUAUCUUAACUUGAACGAGAACCUUGCGAUCGAGCCUGAUGAACUGGAGGCCAUUAAAGAAGGCCAGAACUUCUGUUAUGUGCCAUUUGGUGGAGGAAGGAGAGGAUGCCCUGGUGCUGGACUUGCAGCAGCAGUAUUGCAUAGGACACUUGGUGCAAUGAUCCAAUGUUUUGAUUGGAAAAUUAAAGGUGGAGAAACACUUAAUAUGGAAGAAGGAGCUGGAUUUUCUGCUGCCAUGGUUUAUCCUUUGGUUUGUUAUCCUGUUAUGCGUCUUAAAAAGGACAGCCCGGUGCACAAAGCAUUCUGUAUUCGCACAGGGGCCGAGGAAGGGCCGCAGCCCGAGUAGUAUAAUAUAGGCAGCCUAGCUACCCGAUACAAGCAUCAGUGGUUCCACGGCUUGAACUCGUGACUUAUUGGCCACACGGAGACAACUUUACUGUUGCUCCAACUUUAUUGUUAUGUGUGUUAAUCCUCUAGAUAUUGCCACCAUUGCCAACUGAUUGGACUACUUUAGGAAGGAGCCAAAGGUCUUAAUUUUAGUCCAGAAACUUAUCUGAUGUUGUUACAGUCUGAUUUAGUCAAUGUCAUGUUUAUUUGCCUUCAUAUUAUA